rnacentral:tmRNA from 1 species
GGGGCUGACUUGGAUUUCGACAGAUUUCUUGUCGCACAGAUAGCAUGCCAAGCGCUGCUUGUAAAACAGCAACAAAAAUAACUGUAAACAACGCAGAUUACGCUCCAGCUUACGCUAAAGCUGCGUGAGUUAAUCUCCUUUUGGAGCUGGACUGAUUAGAAUUUCUAGCGUUUUAAUCACUCCAUAACCUUAAGCUAGACGCUUUUAAAAGGUGGUUCGCCUUUUAAACUAAGAAACAAGAACUCUUGAAACUAUCUCAAGGUUUUAGAAAGUUGGACCAGAGCUAGUUUUAAGGCUAAAAAACUAACCAAUUUUCUAAGCAUUGUAGAAGUUUGUGUUUAGGACAAGAUUUUUGGACUGGGGUUCGAUUCCCCACAGCUCCACCA